AAAGCAGGGUUAGUCCACACAGGUGCUGCAUGGCUGUCGUCAGCUCGUGUCGUGAGAUGUUGGGUUAAGUCCCGCAACGAGCGCAACCCUUACCCUUAGUUGUUUUCCCGAAAGGAUUACCCUCUAAGGGGACUGCCCCGGACAACGGGGAGGAAGGUGGGGAUGACGUCAAGUCCGCAUGCUCCUUACGUCUAGGGCUACACACGUCCUACAAUGGGGUCGACAGUGGGAUGCAAAGCCGCGAGGUGGAGCCAAUCCCCAAACGGCCUCUCAGUUCGGAUAGUAGUCUGCAACUCGACUACUUGAAGUCGGAAUCGCUAGUAAUGGCGGAUCAGCAUGCCGCCGUGAAUACGUUCCCGGGUCUU
rnacentral:rRNA from 1 species